CCUACGGGUGGCUGCAGUCGAGGAUCUUCGUCAAUGGGCGCAAGCCUGAACGAGCGAUGCCGCGUGAGCGAUGAAGGCCUUCGGGUUGUAAAGCUCAAAAGGGAUGAGAAAGGGAAACUUGAUCGAAUCCCAGUAAGCUCGGGCUAAGUUCGUGCCAGCAGCCGCGGUAAGACGAACCGAGCGAACGUUGUUCGGAAUCACUGGGCUUAAAGGGCGCGUAGGCGGGUUCGUAAGUCUGUGGUGAAAUCCUCCGGCUCAACCGGAGAACUGCCUCG
rnacentral:rRNA from 1 species